CUCUGAGUCUCUAAAUACUACCAGAAUGACUUUGGGACAGUCACUUAACACUUCAAGACUUCUGGACCUCAGUUUGCUCUUCUGUAAAAUGAGAGGGUUGGACUAGAUAAAUAUUGAGGAUCUCUUCAACUCUAAAUUAACCAUGCAAUGAUCCUAUUUUCCUCCCCAGGGUAAACCCUGUAAUUGAAAAUCUUAUCAAAGAAAGUAAGCUGUGGAGCAUCUUGAAAUCUGGUCUUAACUUGAUCACACAGUUUUCAACUAUACCACAUAUAAGUCCUAACUUGAGGGAGACUUCAGUAAAAGUAAAGACUUGUAAAAAAAGACAAGUUGGGCAGCUGGGUAGCUUAGUGCACAGGACUGAGCCAAGCCUACAGGUGGAAGGACCUGAGUUCAGACCUCAGUUACUUCCUAGCUGUGUGACUGUGGACAAGUUAUUUAAACCCCAUUGCCUAACCUUUACCAUUCUUCUUCUGCCUUGGAACCAAGAUUUAGUAUUGAUUUCAAGAUGGAAGACCCAAGAUUCAUUGGGAGAGAGGACAUUCCCUCCACCAAAUGCAGAUCGUCCACUACAGAGCUGGAGUUCCUUUGAGCACUGGAAGGUUGAGAUACCUCCUCAUGGUCACACAGCUAGCAUGGGUCCAAGUAAGAGUCUGAAUCCAGCUCUUCCUGGUUCCAAGGUCAGCUUUUCAAUUCAAUUUAAUUCAAUAAAUAUUUAGUGUGUCUGUUAUGUACUCAGCACUGUGCUGAGUGCUCUGGAUAAAAAUGGGAAGGAGAAAGAUAUUACUUGCCUUCAAAAAGUUUCCAAUCUAAAUAAAGGGGGAGACAACUCACA
ensembl:lncRNA